UUAAGUCCCGCAACGAGCGCAACCCUUGUCCGCUGUUGCCAUCACGUUAUGGUGGGCACUCUGCGGAGACUGCCGGUGAUAAACCGGAGGAAGGUGGGGAUGACGUCAAGUCAGCAUGGCCUUUAUGUCUGGGGCUACACACGUGCUACAAUGGCCGGUACAAACCGUCGCAAAACCGUAAGGUCGAGCUAAUCGGAGAAAGCCGGUCUCAGUUCGGAUUGCAGGCUGGAGAGGAGCCUGCAUGAAGUUGGAAUCGCUAGUAAUCGCGGAUCAGCACGCCGCGGUGAAUACGUUCCCGGGCCUUGUUCGCGCCGCCCGUCACAUCACGAAAGCUGGCUGUACAGGGCUACCGCGCUAACCCGCAAGGGAGGCAAGUGCCUAAGG
rnacentral:rRNA from 1 species